CAGCAGUCGCCGCGGGAAUACGAAGGGUGCAAGCGUUACUCGGAAUUACUGGGCGUAAAGCGUGCGUAGGUGGUGGUUUAAGUCCGUUGUGAAAGCCCUGGGCUCAACCUGGGAAUUGCAGUGGAUACUGGGUCACUAGAGUGUGGUAGAGGAUAGUGGAAUUUCCGGUGUAGCAGUGAAAUGCGUAGAGAUCGGAAGGAACAUCUGUGGCGAAGGCGACUAUCUGGGCCAACACUGACACUGAGGCACGAAAGCGUGGGGAGCAAACAGGAUUAGAUACCCCAGUAGUCCCUGUCUCUUAUAC
rnacentral:rRNA from 1 species